AGGUGUUUUGCUCAGUACCUUUAAUCACCUUUUGAACUGUAACACUUUUGAGCAUUGGUUUUCCUUCCCAGAGAAGACAAGAUUUGCAUCAUGGAAGUCCCAUAUGAGUAGGAAAAAUCAGUCUUCAUGAAUCAAGCCAGGAAAGGGGAAAGUGGAGAGAAUGAAACUGCAUUUAAUUUCAUUCUUUCUUCAUUCUCUUUGCCUUUUGUGUCAACAAACUGCAUACCAACCUGCUUCUAGUGUGUUGUUCCCACAUCCCUCCUGACUGUACUCUCAUUUUUAUGACCCAAACAGCAAUCCCAAAAGUUCCUUUCUCAGGGGCUUAUGAUGUCUCUGGGUUGUGACUCACCUGCAGCAGUCCAGGCUUCCCGUUGGCUGGUGACCACAGAGCUGAGGACACCCUGUCUUACAGCAAAUGGACCUGAACUGAGGAUCUCUUGAUGUGAGCCCUAGGCAGGAGCUGGGCAUGGGCAGCAGCUGCAGGAGCAGCCUGGUGUGGAGCUUCCUGGAGAACACUCACAGUUUUACAAAGCAAUAACACAGCUCAGAAGAGGUGCUUGCAGCGAGCUUUAGGUGUUUUCCAGAUGAAGUGUUGUACCAAAUGAGCCCACUGGUGUAUCACUGUAAGGAGUCUGUAAAGGCAGCUUCUGUUUAAAGAUCUCUUCUUACUGCAUAGAACUGCAACAUCUGGUCCUUUAGGGAUUUGCAGUAUGUGAAAUCGAUAUCUUACGUCAUAAGCAACCCAAAGAAAAGGAGACUAUGGUUUGGUGCUUUUUUCUUCAGAAUCAGGAGAAGUAGUAACCUACUAUUUUUCAUGCUGCCUUGUGUGUGGAAGGGUGUUCCUGGACAGUUCUAGUGUGCAUCAUUUUUCCACAAUAUUGGAAACCUGGUCAUGUGCAGAGAUUUUCUUAUCUAAGGACACCAGCUGUUUACUGGAGGAUGAAACUAGUUGUUCCUUUCUCAAGCAAUGUCUGUCACAAGGAGACAAAAAUCAGCACUGUGGGUGUGUUAUAUAAAUUGCCACAAUGGAGUGUAUUUCAGAUCCUUCAUCUCAGAGGCCAUCUGUCAUUGAAAGUGGCACAUUCACCUGCCCAUCACUUCUGCAGAAAUGUGUGCACUAGACAGGGCAUAUCCCCGUGAAGUUAACAACAGGAGCAGCUCUUCAUACAGCUGACUUUGGAAAGACUUGAAAAGAGCAAACUAGUUCCCUGAAGGAUAUUUUUCUACUUGGUAGAAUCCAGCAUUGCUUCUGUGAGCUCUUCUCUGCUGUGUCUGACCCUUGACAGGUAAUCACAGAGUUCUAAUAAGAAAAAUUAUCCUCAAGUCCUUGAAUGGAUCUAGACAGGAUUCAGCAUUUUAAUGAUUGUUAAUACUUAUAUAUUUCUCUCCAUUUUCCUUCCACCUUUGUAUUUCCUUUAACUUGAUGAAGUGGAAGUAAGACAGGCAUGAUGUCAGCCAUUUUUAAUAUUGUUUCUCUGGAGUGUCUUUUAGUUUGAGAAUAUGUAUGCAUUUCUGCAUUUGUCUAACUUUUCUUUAAUCUUUGUUUAAUGCAAACUGUGUGAGUUGUUGAAGGAGGAACUUGACAGUGUGGAUGUGUGCUCACAAUUUGCUCAAAGAAUUUCAACUAUGGGUCAGAGAUUUUUCUUUCUAAUCAGUGACAAUGUACAUAACCUUUC